CCUAAUACGUGCAAGUCGAACGCUUUUUCUUUCACCGGAGCUUGCUCCACCGAAAGAAAAAGAGUGGCGAACGGGUGAGUAACACGUGGAUAACCUACCCUCAAGCGGGGGAUAACACUUGGAAACAGGUGCUAAUACCGCAUAACAAAGAAAACCGCAUGGUUUUCUUUUGAAAGGCGCUUUUGCGUCACUUGAGGAUGGAUCCGCGGUGCAUUAGCUAGUUGGUGAGGUAACGGCUCACCAAGGCAACGAUGCAUAGCCGACCUGAGAGGGUGAUCGGCCACAUUGGGACUGAGACACGGCCCAAACUCCUACGGGAGGCAGCAGUAGGGAAUCUUCGGCAAUGGACGAAAGUCUGACCGAGCAACGCCGCGUGAGUGAAGAAGGUUUUCGGAUCGUAAAACUCUGUUGUUAGAGAAGAACAAGGAUGAGAGUAAAAUGUUCAUCCCUUGACGGUAUCUAACCAGAAAGCCACGGCUAACUACGUGCCAGCAGCCGCGGUAAUACGUAGGUGGCAAGCGUUGUCCGGAUUUAUUGGGCGUAAAGCGAGCGCAGGCGGUUUCUUAAGUCUGAUGUGAAAGCCCCCGGCUCAACCGGGGAGGGUCAUUGGAAACUGGGAAACUUGAGUGCAGAAGAGGAGAGUGGAAUUCCAUGUGUAGCGGUGAAAUGCGUAGAUAUAUGGAGGAACACCAGUGGCGAAGGCGGCUCUCUGGUCUGUAACUGACGCUGAGGCUCGAAAGCGUGGGGAGCAAACAGGAUUAGAUACCCUGGUAGUCCACGCCGUAAACGAUGAGUGCUAAGUGUUGGAGGGUUUCCGCCCUUCAGUGCUGCAGCUAACGCAUUAAGCACUCCGCCUGGGGA
rnacentral:rRNA from 1 species